CAGGAUCGCCGUGUUGCCAUACACGAACUGCUCGAACUUCCAUGGCUUCAGGCUCACCGUUACGCUCUCUCCGACUGCUAAUUUCAGGCCUGGAAUUGGAGUGAGUUGCAGCGAGAUUCGUGAUGGGAAGUGCUUUUCUGAUCUGCCGACUCCUCGCUUGGACAAGAGAGUGUCGUUCACAAGCUGGAUGAUGUCGCACCUGUGAGAAUCGAGUCGAGGAUUAAGGUGAAUGAUCGCUUUCCUGCUCAAGCUACAACAUGUCUCACUCGAGCAAUGUCAACAGACUUAUCAAGGAUAAACUCACAGCGGAACAACUUGAUAUGUUUCGUAGAAGAACAAUAUUUGGUCGAUUUGUCAACUUGGAGAUGAUGUUCUACAGUGGUGUAGUUCAUCACUUUCUAUCAAGGGAGGUUGCUGGUAGCAGUGACGACAGUAUGAGAUUCUUAAUUUGUGGCAACGUGUUGACAUUCUCGAAAAAUCAAUUCUUGCUUGUAACUGGAUUGUGGCGGCUGUCCGGUAAGGUGAUCCAGAAAUAGCUUCAAUAGAAUAAGUUGCGGAGGAAGUACUUCAAUGAUGAAGCCUCCAUGCUGCUCAAAGAAUUUUUGAAGGUUUACARCCAGACUGAUUUCGAGGACGAUGAGGACUCCGUUAAAGUUACAUUAAUGUUGUACACGGAGCUUGUAAUGAUGGGAAAGAGCAGGAGCUUGUCGAAAGUUGACAUCGACUUGUACAACAAAGUCGAUGACUUGACUACUUCAACUACUUGGACUAGGGUUAUGAGGUUUGGAGUAGGACAGUUAACGGCCUGAAGCGUGCGAUAAAUGAAAAAGUUGCGCUAUACAAGAAUAAAGUAAGAACGAACAAAAAAUACCAAGUAAAGUAUAACCUAGUGGGAUUUCCUCUUGCGUUUCAGGUGUGGAUAUAUGAGGUUGUCCAUCUCUCAUCACUCCCGAUUUGAGCGAGACUGCGAUUCCUUGGAUACUUUGGUAUUCGUGCAGUAGGGUCGUCGGUACAAAAGAUUUGAGAGAGGAGGUCUUUGGUUCCGCGGUGUUGGUCAUAUCUUAUCC